ensembl:misc_RNA Metazoa_SRP Metazoan signal recognition particle RNA
GCUGGGCAUGGUGGGCAUGCCUGUAAUCCCAGCUACUCAGGAGGCUGAGGUGGGAGAAUUGCUUGAACCCGGGAGGUGGAGGUUGCAGUGAGCUGAGAUGGUGCCACUGCACUCCAGCCUGGGUGACAGAGUAAGACUCUGUCUCAA